rnacentral:rRNA from 1 species
AGAACGAACGCUGGCGGCGUGGAUAAGACAUGCAAGUCGAACGGUGUUUCCGGGGUAACCUGGGGACAUAGUGGCGCAAGGGUGAGUAACACGUAGGAAUCUGCCCAAAGGUGGGGAAUAACUUGCCGAAAGGCAAGCUAAGACCGCAUGUGGCUUUAUGCUAAAACCGAAAGGUGCCUUUGGAUGAGCCUGCGUCCUAUCAGCUAGUUGGUGAGGUAAUAGCUCACCAAGGCUUUGACGGGUAGCUGGUCUGAGAGGACGACCAGCCACACUGGAACUGAGACACGGUCCAGACACCUACGGGUGGCAGCAGUCGAGAAUUUUUUCUCAAUGGGCGAAAGCCUGAAGGAGCGACGCCGCGUGGAGGAUGAAGGUCUUCGGAUUGUAAACUCCUGUCAUUAAAGACAAGCCGGUGCUUCGGCAUCGGUCGAUAGUAUUUGAAGAGGAAGGGACGGCAAACUCUGCGCCAGCAGCCGCGGU